UACGUAGGGUGCAAGCGUUGUCCGGAAUUAUUGGGCGUAAAGAGCUCGUAGGCGGUUUGUCGCGUCUGCUGUGAAAACUCGGGGCUUAACUCCGGGCCUGCAGUCGAUACGGGCUGGCUUGAGUGCGGUAGGGGAGACUGGAAUUCCUGGUGUAGCGGUGGAAUGCGCAGAUAUCAGGAGGAACACCGGUGGCGAAGGCGGGUCUCUGGGCAGUAACUGACGCUGAGGAGCGAAAGCGUGGGGAGCGAACAGG
rnacentral:rRNA from 1 species